AUAAUAAAUAAAUAAAAUAUUAAAAAAAAUUGGAACGAUACAGAGAAGAUUAGCAUGGCCCCAGCUCAAGGAUGACACGAAAAUUCGUGAAGCGUUCCAUAUUUUU
ensembl:snRNA U6 U6 spliceosomal RNA